UGGCGACCGGCGCACGGGUGAGUAACACGUAUCCAACCUGCCGAUGACUCGGGGAUAGCCUUUCGAAAGAAAGAUUAAUACCCGAUGGCAUAGUUCUUCCGCAUGGUAGAACUAUUAAAGAAUUUCGGUCAUCGAUGGGGAUGCGUUCCAUUAGCUUGUUGGCGGGGUAACGGCCCACCAAGGCAUCGAUGGAUAGGGGUUCUGAGAGGAAGGUCCCCCACAUUGGGACUGAGACACGGCCCAAACUCCUACGGGAGGCAGCAG
rnacentral:rRNA from 1 species